CCGCCGGCGACCGGCGCACGGGUGAGUAACACGUAUGCAACCUGGCCGUGACAGAUGGAUAACCGGGAGAAAUCCCGCCUAAUACAACAUAAUGCCGGGAGGGGACAUCCCCUGCCGGCCAAAGGGGGCGACCCCGGUCACGGAUGGGCAUGCGGCGCAUUAGGUAGUUGGUGGGGCAACGGCCCACCAAGCCGACGAUGCGUAGGGGUUCUGAGAGGAAGGUCCCCCACAUUGGAACUGAGGCACGGUCCAAACUCCUACGGAAGGCAGCAG
rnacentral:rRNA from 1 species